GCCGUUGCCCAGAAGGAAUGAACACAUAAAGCCAUACACGAUGAAAUCCAUAAACUGAUAUAAUAAAAGGAAUAAAGACUUUUUUUAACAAAGAAAAAAAUAAAAAAAAGAAGCUUUGAGUUGGUUCAAAAGAUUAUGACUAGACUUAUGUGAUUAAAAAACAGUUGAAUACAAAAAUAAAGAGUGGACGGCCAAGAGCCACAAAAGCCUAGAAAAAGGAAUUCAAGAUAGAAAAAAUAUGCUACCAAGUGACAAUCUCUAUCAAAUCCUUACCAAAAAAUUUCGAUUUUGAAUGAAAGUGCAAGACGCCAGUUACAGGCACUCCGCAGGGAGAAGAAACGAGAUAUGCAGUCUCUAUACAUUUUGCGCAAGCGAAUUUAUUGUAAAAGUUGAUAUGCAUUUUUUAAUAUCAGAUACUACACAAAACAUUUUCUGAUAAUCAUAAAACAUAAGACAUUUUCAACUUGCAUCUUAACUAAGCCAAAUUCUACAUCAAUGUUAUAAAUUUUAGCAUUAGCCAUAUUGGGGGAAAUCGAAAGCUAUUGAUAUUUUUAUAAUUGCAAAACGAUUUGAUAAUGUAGAGAAGAUAUUGGAAUAUGUUACUCUCAUCGAUGAGCAGAAUUAAAAGCUAUGGGAGAUAACGACUAUUGCUAUUGAAAACAAGAACUAGGCACGCAAAGAAAUAUAUACCUUCUUUACUAUAGUGCAUGGUAUUAGAGUUACUUAAAAGAUUAUUUUAACAACUUGCCGAUCACGAGGUGAUUCACAGAUUUAUAGCAUAAAUGAAAACCUACGGAUGUCUAGCAAUAAAGUUAGGAUUUUACUGAAAUUCGAGUCGACAAC